rnacentral:tRNA from 2 species
GGGGCUUUAGCUCAAUUGGUAGAGCGCCGCCUUUGCAAGGCGGAGGUCAGGAGUUCGAUUCUCCUAAGCUCCA